UGACAAUGGGUGUCCAGUUCGACUUCUCCCAGUUGAAAUAGCUGAAAUAACUAUCACCCAGAAAUGAAAUGUCUUCACAUAAUAGAGAAAAGUUAUUCAUUUUUGUCAUCUGUCAAUGGCAAUCCACUUUUUUCACCUCCUUUAAACCGACAUGCCAGCAUUGAAAAGUGGUGAUGUGCCAUGUUGCUCGAGAACACCAACCCCAAAGAGAGGAGGAGGCAACCUUUCUUUUGUCUGAAGCUAACUCCAGCUCACCAGUUGCUUCCCUCUCAACCAAAAUACAAAUCUAAGUGUCUCCUCCAAGUCCUCUCCUAUGCUGGUGUUAUUCACCACAGGUAAGGACUCUCGGAGGGAGAUGUCGUCCACCUGCUUUGCUCUCUCGUCUGGCUCCUCUGGGAUGGAUGGGGGCAGGCUAUCCACCUCAGAGUUGCUGAACACGUAGCCGGGCAAGGUGGUGUGGGUGCUGACGCUGUGCCUGGCUUGGCUGCUGCGGUACACGUGGCUGGAGAAGAGAGAGGCGGUGCCCGAGAUCACGGGCUGACUGGUAGAGGUCUGGUUGAGACCGUACCGGUAGUUGGCACAUGCCGCCGGUCCCUUCCCGUCGAACACCAGGUUCCAGCGGGUCCAGGUCUUCUUGAUCUCUGCCUGGACCUGAAGAGAACAAGAAGAUUGUGUGGGUCAGGUUAUAGUAUAGUAUCGGUCAUGGUAUUGUGUGGGUCAUGGUAUUGUGUGGGUCAGGUUAUAGUAUCGGUCAUGGUAUUGUGUGUGUCAUGGUAUCGUGUGGGUCAGGUUAUAGUAUAGUAUCGGUCAUGGUAUGUAUGGUAGCCUAUAGUACGGGUCAUGGUAUGUGGGGUAGCCUACAGUACGGGUCAUGGUAUGUAUGGUAGCCUACAGUACGGGUCAUGGUAUGUAUGGUAGCCUACAGUACGGGUCAUGGUAUGUAUGGUAGCCUACAGUACGGGUCAUGGUAUGUAUGGUAGCCUACAGUACGGGUCAUGGUAUGUAUGGUAGCCUACAGUACGGGUCAUGGUAUGUAUGGUAGCCUAUAGUACGGGUCAUGGUAUGUAUGGUAGCCUAUAGUACGGGUCAUGGUAUGUAUGGUAGCCUACAGUACGGGUCAUGGUAUGUAUGGUAGCCUAUAGUACGGGUCAUGGUAUGUAUGGUAGCCUACAGUACGGGUCAUGGUAUGUAUGGUAGCCUACAGUACGGGUCAUGGUAUGUAUGGUAGCCUACAGUACGGGUCAUGGUAUGUAUGGUAGCCUACAGUACGGGUCAUGGUAUGUAUGGUAGCCUACAGUACGGGUCAUGGUAUGUAUGGUAGCCUACAGUACGGGUCAUGGUAUGUAUGGUAGCCUACAGUACGGGUCAUGGUAUGUAUGGUAGCCUACAGUACGGGUCAUGGUAUGUAUGGUAGCCUACAGUACGGGUCAUGGUAUGUAUGGUAGCCUACAGUACGGGUCAUGGUAUGUAUGGUAGCCUACAGUACGGGUCAUGGUAUGUAUGGUAGCCUACAGUACGGGUCAUGGUAUGUAUGGUAGCCUAUAGUACGGGUCAUGGUAUGUAUGGUAGCCUAUAGUACGGGUCAUGGCAUGUAUGGUAGCCUACAGUACGGGUCAUGGCAUGUAUGGUAGCCUAUAGUACGGGUCAUGGUAUGUAUGGUAGCCUAUAGUACGGGUCAUGGUAUGUAUGGUAGCCUAUAGUACGGGUCAUGGCAUGUAUGGUAGCCUAUAGUACGGGUCAUGGCAUGUAUGGUAGCCUAUAGUACGGGUCAUGGUAUGUAUGGUAGCCUAUAGUAUGGGUCAUGGUAUGUAUGGUAGCCUAUAGUAUGGGUCAUGGUAUGUAUGGUAGCCUAUAGUACGGGUCAUGGUAUGUAUGGUAGCCUAUAGUAUGGGUCAUGGUAUGUAUGGUAGCCUAUAGUAUGGGUCAUGGUAUGUAUGGUAGCCUAUAGUAUGGGUCAUGGUAUGUAUGGUAGCCUAUAGUACGGGUCAUGGAAGAAACUUAAUUGGAGAGUUCGGACAACUUUUAGAAAUGCACGCAAUGUUAGUGCCUUUAUCCUGAAACCUUUAUUGAUGUAACAAUACAAGAACGCCUCCGACCAUU